rnacentral:rRNA from 1 species
AUUGAACGCUGGCGGGAGGCCUAACACACGCAAGUCCCACGAGUGGCGGACGAGUGCGUAAUGUCUGGGAAACUGACUGAUGGAGGGGGAUAACUACUGGAAAGUGUGGCUAAUACCGCAUACCCUCAGAUGUGCCAAGAUGGGAUUAGAUGGUUGGUGGGGUAACGGCGCACCAAGGCGAAGAUCCAUAGCGGGUCUGCGAGGAUGACCAGCCACAUGGGAACUGCGACACGGUCCAGACUCCUACGGGAGGCAGCAGUGGGGAAUAUUGCACAAUGGGAGCAAGCCUGAUGCAGCCAUGCCGCGUGUAGGAAGAAGGCCUUCGGUUUGUAAAGUACUUUCAGCGGGGAGGCGUUACCCGCAGAAGAAGCACCGGCUAACUCCGUGCCAGCCGCCGCGGUAAUAC